rnacentral:lncRNA from 1 species
GCCACAAGGAGUGAAAAGUUUCAUCAUCAUGGGAAUGGGCAUGAAGUAAUCUAAAAAAAUACCUUUAUGCAUUUUAUUACCACCAAUGUUGAUUGGUCUUCAUUUCUUGGGGCAGCUUCAGAAAGAUCCCAGGUGCUAUGCUCAUCAGAGCUGCCAUGCCCAAAAGCUGGAUGCAUGGACCCAUGAAGGAAAGCCACAACCCAGAAGCAGGUGCCUAAGUAACCUUUAUGUUGAGUGGAAUGAAAUUCUGCAAGCAAGAAGUUAUAUUCAGAAUUAUGCAAAAUAACAGGACUACAAUGAGAUACUACCUCCGAAACCUGUUGCUUGACAACAUGAGAUGAAGUCAAACAGAAAACAUACGCUGGAGUGUUGUGGUUUCACCCCGGCAGGCAGCUCAGCACCACACAGCCGUUCGCCCGCUGUCCCCAGGUGGGAUGGGGGAGAGAAUCUGAAAGGGAAAAAUGUGACAACUCAUGGGUUGAGAUGCAGAC